UCUGUGAGAGAGUGUUUAGGCUGGAGUAGCCGAGGAGGGAAGACCCACCUUGAAAGUGGGCAGCGCCAUCCCAUGGGCUGAGGUCCCAGACUGAAUACAGAGGAGAAAGUGAGCCGAGACCCGCGUUCACGUCUCUCUGGGUGUGACUAGCUGCCUCAAGCUGCCCUGCUGUGACCCUGAGAACAGGCAGGCCUGUACCUGUUAGGACUGGAGGACAGGAAGUUGAUGGAACAAGAAAAUCCCCUGAGACACGGACUUGUGAAGCCAUGGCAAGCGUUUUAAUGACAACGACGACCGCAGGCUCUGGUCGUCCUCACUCAGUCCCACCGGGAGCGCCCUCCAUCCAGCUACUCUGCUGAGGGAAGGAAGAAAGGAGGACACUGUCCAAGUUGAAGAGGUGGCCAGAACACUACACGUUGUCUUGGAACUUCUCCAGCAGGGACUUGGCAGUGGUGGUGGCACUCAUCAGGGCCCCUUCCUCGCGAUCCCCAGGAGAGUUGCCAUGGUAGCGUUCAUCCUGGCCUGGGCGUUCCAGGUCCUGAAUCUUCUGCCGGCGAUCACUGGCGUGGU